UUCAUGAUGAAACGGUGUCAUGACAAUAAAUGUAUAUGCAUGCGCAGCUAGUGUGAAUUAUUUGUAUGACGAUGCACUACAAUAUACACAGGAUGUGUAUUAGUUGCGCACGCUAAAAUUACAAGAAAAAGGAAGCCGGAGGAGGUGAACGACGACGUUACGAUAGGUUUUCGCUCCCUCCGUUCCCGGAACAGUUGAAGAUUGAUGGCCAUUUCGCAGUUGUUUCGGGAGAGGAUGAAUCGCUAUUAAGCCACGGUUUUAGUGGAUAUCUGUCCGGAGUGUUUUGCAGUUCUAGCCUAGCCGUGAUCAUCGAUGUAUAUCUGGAAAAGGUGAAGUCGUUUUUGAAUAGAAUAAAUUCUAGAAUGACCGAUAGUGGCCAAAGUUUGAUGUAGACACUUAGAAUUAUAUCCGUAUUAAAUACUUUACAGAUCGCUUGUUCGCAUGUUUCAACAAGUUUAUGAUAUGACGAACCGGAAGGUUUUUUCCGGCAAGCUAUGAAAACUCAACACCGUUCCUAAUGCAUGGAAAUGAUCGAAUUCUUACUGAUUGCUUUCCAAAAAGCCGCCAAAAGGUGACUGCUCAUCACGCAGAAUUGGUGCGUGUAUUUGCACAACUUCGGAAAGGCUGACAAUCCUGAUACUCAUCGGGUAUCUGUAAGAGGAAUAAAAAAAAUUAAUACUCUUACUUGUAAAAUACAAUUCCAAAAACAAAGUGU